UAAAGAACCUGCCUCAUAGACUGGGAUAACUAUUGGAAACGAUAGCUAAUACCGGAUAACAGCAUUAACUGCAUGGUUGAUGUUUAAAAGUUGGUUUUGCUAACACUAUGAGAUGGCUUUGCGGUGCAUUAGCUAGUUGGUGGGGUAAAGGCCUACCAAGGCGACGAUGCAUAGCCGACCUGAGAGGGUGAUCGGCCACACUGGGACUGAGACACGGCCCAG
rnacentral:rRNA from 1 species